UACGUAGGGGGCGAGCGUUGUCCGGAUUUAUUGGGCGUAAAGAGCGUGUAGGCGGCCAGGUAGGUCUGCUGUGAAAACUCGAGGCUCAACCUCGAGACGUCGACGGAAACCAUCUGGCUAGAGUCCGGAAGAGGAGAGUGGAAUUCCUGGUGUAGCGGUGAAAUGCGCAGAUAUCAGGAAGAACACCCGUGGCGAAGGCGGCCUCUCGUGGGACG
rnacentral:rRNA from 1 species